GUGGGGAAUAUUGGACAAUGGGCGAAAGCCUGAUCCAGCCAUGCCGCGUGUGUGAAGAAGGUCUUCGGAUUGUAAAGCACUUUAAGUUGGGAGGAAGGGCAGUAAGUUAAUACCUUGCUGUUUUGACGUUACCGACAGAAUAAGCACCGACUAACUUCGUGCCAGCAGCCGCGGUAAUACGAAGGGUGCAAGCGUUAAUCGGAAUUACUGGGCGUAAAGCGCGCGUAGGUGGUUUUGUAAGUUGGAGGUGAAAUCCCCGGGCUCAACCUGGGAACUGCCUCCAAAACUGCAUGGCUAGAGUACGGUAGAGGGUAAUGGAAUUUCCUGUGUAGCGGUGAAAUGCGUAGAUAUAGGAAGGAACACCAGUGGCGAAGGCGACUACCUGGACUGAUACUGACACUGAGGUGCGAAAGCGUGGGGAGCAAACAGGAUUAGAUACCCUAGUAGUCC
rnacentral:rRNA from 1 species